UACAGAGGGUGCGAGCGUUAAUCGGAAUUACUGGGCGUAAAGAGCUCGUAGGUGGUUUGUCGCGUUGUUCGUGAAAACUCACAGCUUAACUGUGGGCGUGCGGGCGAUACGGGCAGACUGGAGUACUGCAGGGGAGACUGGAAUUCCUGGUGUAGCGGUGGAAUGCGCAGAUAUCAGGAGGAACACCGGUGGCGAAGGCGGCAUCCUGGACUACUACUGACGCUGAGGAGCGAAAGCCAGGGGAGCAAACGGG
rnacentral:rRNA from 1 species